ensembl:lncRNA
CUCUGACUCUACCACCCUCUGCUGGCCGUCUCUCUCAGUGCGUCAGCGCCCUCUGCUGGCCAGAUGCAAAAAGGGGCUUAUUGGGAAAACGGUGGUUGAUGAAUGAAGACUCCGGGCGCUUAAGACUGCUCCCUUUCUACUGCACCAACACGUCUAUCUGCCCUCAGUGUCUGGGCUGGUCUGAGGUUGGUCAUGUGAUCAGGGUUUACCAGAAGAGAGUCUUUCGUAGGGAUGUCAUCAAGAAGCUCCUCCCGGACCACUUCCAUGCACUCCUGCAUCGCCUCGACAAAACCCUACACGACUGUGCUCAGUGUCCGAAACGCUCCAAAGAAGUCCUUCAGUUUGAGAAGAAAAUCAAGAGGUUCCUGAGGAAGAGGAGGGAGGAAGGUGUGUUCAAGGCGGUGAGAGAGUUCCCCUUCGUCCUCCGAUGGGUCGAUGAGUUGAGGGAAACUCUUCAUCAUUGUUCCUGAUGAGGGGGACUCCAGAGUCCCUGAUGAUGAAUCAUUCAAUCUAUUUAUUUUAUUAGGUUUUAAAAAGCAG